rnacentral:rRNA from 1 species
UAAAGGGUCCGUAGCCGGUCUUGUAAGUCUUUGGUUAAAUACCAGAAGCUCAACUUUUGGAAUGCCAGGCAAACUGCAGGACUUGAGGGUGUUAGGGGCUGAUGGAACGCACGGUGGAGGGGUGAAAUCCGUUGAUAUCGUGCGGAACACCAAAAGCGAAGGCAUUCAGCUGGGGCAACCCUGACGGUGAGGGACGAAAGCGUGGGGAGCAAAAAGGAUUAGAUACCCUUGUAGUCCACGCUGUAAACUAUGGAUGCUAGCUAUGUGAAGUGUCGACCCUUCACGUGGCGAAGCUAACGCGUUAAGCAUCCCGCCUGGGAAGUACGGUCGCAAGACUAAAACUUAAAGGAAUAGACGGGGACCCACACAAGCGGUGGAUCAUGUGGCUCAAUUCGUCAACAAGCGAGGAACCUUACCAGGGCUUGAAAUGCCAGUGAACCUCCAUGGAAACAUGGGGCUUCCCACAAGGACACUGGCACAGGUGUUGCACGGCCGUCGUCAGCAUGUAUCGUGAGACGCUCCGUUCAAUCGGGUAACAUGCGCAGCCCUCAUUCUGUGUUUUAUAUGUCACAGGAAACUGCCUGGGACAACCAGGAGGAAGGUGAGGAUGACGCCAGGUCAGCGUGACCCUUUGACGCCCUGGGCUGCACACAUGNAUACAAUGGCAAGGACAACGGGAAGCAAUGCCGCAAGGCCGAGCAAAUCCCUUAAACCUUGCCUCAGUUCGGAUUGAGGUCUGAAACCCGACCUCAUGAAGCCGGA